AGAUAGCUCAGUCGGUAAAACAUGAAACUCUUAAUCCCAGAGCUGUGGGUUCGAGCCCCACAUUGGGUGAAAUA